CAUUGUCAGGGACAUGUAUUUCUUCUUCAGACUCAUCAUUUGACCCAUCAUGAGAGCUUGUUGGAGCAUAUGCAUUUGGAGGUGUAGUUGGGUUAGCUUGUGACUUUUCUUCAUUAUCAGAGUGAAUGUUCUGAGAGUUAGUCAUAUGGCUUGUGCGUUUUCCUUCAUCAGCAGAUUCUACAUUUUCUUCCAAGAAUCCAGCUUCAGCUUCAUUAUCGGAUUCGUUCUUCG
rnacentral:lncRNA from 1 species